AGAGUUUGAUCAUGGCUCAGAUUGAACGCUGGCGGCAGGCUUAACACAUGCAAGUCGAGCGGAAACGAAAGUAGCUUGCUACUAGGCGUCGAGCGGCGGACGGGUGAGUAAUGCUUAGGAAUCUACCGAGUAGUGGGGGAUAGCCAUUGGAAACGAUGAUUAAUACCGCAUAUAUCCUACGGGGGAAAGCAGGGGACCCAUUUAUGGGCCUUGCGCUAUUUGAUGAGCCUGAGUGAGAUUAGCUAGUUGGUAGGGUAAAGGCCUACCAAGGCGACGAUCUCUAGCUGGUCUGAGAGGAUGAUCAGCCACACUGGGACUGAGACACGGCCCAGACUCCUACGGGAGGCAGCAGUGGGGAAUAUUGCACAAUGGGCGAAAGCCUGAUGCAGCCAUGCCGCGUGUGUGAAGAAGGCCUUCGGGUUGUAAAGCACUUUCAGCGAGGAGGAAAGGUCAGUAGCUAAUAAUUGCUGGCUGUGACGUUACUCGCAGAAGAAGCACCGGCUAAUUUAGUGCCAGCAGCCGCGGUAAUACUAAAGGUGCAAGCGUUAAUCGGAAUUACUGGGCGUAAAGCGCGCGUAGGUGGUUUGUCAAGUUGGAUGUGAAAGCCCAGGGCUCAACCUUGGAACUGCAUCCAAAACUGGCUCACUAGAGUACGAGAGAGGUUAGUGGAAUUUCCUGUGUAGCGGUGAAAUGCGUAGAGAUGGGAAGGAACACCAGUGGCGAAGGCGACUGACUGGCUCGAUACUGACACUGAGGUGCGAAAGCGUGGGGAGCAAACGGGAUUAGAUACCCCGGUAGUCCACGCCGUAAACGAUGUCUACUAGCCGUUGGAGGACUUGAUCCUUUAGUGGCGCAGCUAACGCGAUAAGUAGACCGCCUGGGGAGUACGGUCGCAAGAUUAAAACUCAAAUGAAUUGACGGGGGCCCGCACAAGCGGUGGAGCAUGUGGUUUA
rnacentral:rRNA from 1 species